CCCGCUCCCCAUGCAAAUUCCCCCUCCGGGCGCCUUUAAAUACGCCAGACCCCAGCAUGUCCACAGCACCCAGCGUCCCCUUCCCCUCACCACCAUGAGUCCUCGGCCUCAUGCCUUCGCCCUCCUCCUCCUCCUGGCCGCCGUCCCAGGGCUGCGGGCGGCCACGUUGGACGAGACCGGAGGGGGCCUGGUGAAGCCCGGGGGGUCCCUGACCCUGGUCUGCAAGGGCUCCGGAUACACCUUCAGCAGCUACGGCAUGGGAUGGAUGCGACAGGCGCCCGGGAAGGCGCUCGAGUACGUCGCAGCUAUUAACAGCAGUGGUAGUAGCACAUACUACGCGUCGGCGGUGAAGGGACGCUUCACCAUCUCCAGGAACAACGGGCAGAGCACGGCCACCCUGCAGAUGAACAGCCUCAAGGCCGAAGACACCGCCACCUACUACUGCGCGAAAGCUGCUCACGGUGGCUCAGAGCCCAUGCACGGCUGUCACAAAACCCACCGCUGCGAUAUCUGCCCACCUGGAGCUCCGAGUGUGCCCAGAACCUUGAACCGUGCCCAAAUUUCAUGAACCGUGCCCAAAUUU